rnacentral:misc_RNA from 1 species
GAAAUGCGAUAAGUAGUGUGAAUUGCAGAAUUCAGUGAAUCAUCGAAUCUUUGAACGCACAUUGCCCCCCUCGGUAUUCCGUGGGGCAUGCCUGUUCGAGCGUCAUCUACACCCUCAAGCUCUGCUUGGUGUUGGGCGUCUGUCCCGCCUCCGCGCGCGGACUCGCCCCAAAUGCAUUGGCAGCGGUUCCUUGCCCCCCUCUUUGCGCAGCACAUUGCCAUUCGAGGCGGCGGCGGCCCGCGUCCAACAAGCUCAACCCCCCCGUCUUUGACCUCGGAUCAGGUAGGGAUACCCGCUGAACUUAAGC